GCGCGAUUAGCUCAGUUGGAUAGAGCGUUGGCCUCCGGAGCCAAAGGUCGUUGGUUCGAAUCCAAUAUCGCGCGCCA
rnacentral:tRNA from 1 species